GACGAACGCUGGCGGCGUGCUUAACACAUGCAAGUCGAACGGAAAGGCCCCCACUUUUUUGGUGGGGGUGCUCGAGUGGCGAACGGGUGAGUAACACGUGGGUGAUCUGCCCUGUACUUCGGGAUAAGCUUGGGAAACUGGUUCUAAUACCGGAUAGGACCAUGGUUUAGUGUCUCAUGGUGGAAAAAUUAUUGUUUUGGUGCAGGAUGAGCUCGCGGCCUAUCAGCUUGUUGGUGGGGUAAUGGCCUACCAAGGCGUCGACGGGUAGCCGGCCUGAGAGGGUGGACGGCCACAUUGGGACUGAGAUACGGCCCAGACUCCUACGGGAGGCAGCAGUGGGGAAUAUUGCACAAUGGGCGCAAGCCUGAUGCAGCGACGCCGCGUGGGGGAUGACGGCCGUCGGGUUGUAAACUCCUUUCGUUAGGGACGAAGCCGCACCUUUUUUGGGUGUGGUGACGGUACCUUUGUGAAGAAGCACCGGCUAACUACGUG
rnacentral:rRNA from 1 species